GAUGAAGAACGCAGUGAAAUGCGAUACGUAAUGUGAAUUGCAGAAUUCAGUGAAUCAUCGAGUCUUUGAACGCACAUUGCGCCCCCUGGUAUUCCGGGGGGCAUGCCUGUCCGAGCGUCAUUGCUGCCCUCAAGCACGGCUUGUGUGUUGGGCCUCCGUCCUCCUCCCGGGGGACGGGCCCGAAAGGCAGCGGCGGCACCGCGUCCGGUCCUCGAGCGUAUGGGGCUUCGUCACCCGCUUUUGUAGGCCCGGCCGGCGCUUGCCGACACAUCAAUCUUUUUUCCAGGUUGACCUCGGAUCAGGUAGGGAUACCCGCUGAACUUAAGCAUAUCAAUAAGCGGAGGA
rnacentral:misc_RNA from 1 species